rnacentral:rRNA from 1 species
GUGGGGAAUAUUGGACAAUGGGCGAAAGCCUGAUCCAGCCAUGCCGCGUGAGUGAUGAAGGCCUUAGGGUUGUAAAGCUCUUUCAGUAGGGAAGAUAAUGACGGUACCUACAGAAGAAGCCCCGGCUAACUUCGUGCCAGCAGCCGCGGUAAUACGCAGGGGGCUAGCGUUGUUCGGAUUUACUGGGCGUAAAGCGCACGUAGGCGGAUUGGUCAGUUAGAGGUGAAAUCCUGGAGCUCAAAUCCAGAACUGCCUUUAAUACUGCCAGUCUAGAGUCCAGAAGAGGUGAGUGGAACUCCUAGUGUAGAGGUGGAAUUCGUAGAUAUUAGGAAGAACACCAGUGGCGAAGGCGGCUCACUGGUCUGGUACUGACGCUGAGGUGCGAAAGCGUGGGGAGCAAACAGGAUUAGAAACCCCUGUAGUCC